rnacentral:rRNA from 1 species
AUUGAACGCUGGCGGCAGGCCUAACACAUGCAAGUCGAGCGGUAGCACAGAGAGCUUGCUCUCGGGUGACGAGCGGCGGACGGGUGAGUAAUGUCUGGGAAACUGCCUGAUGGAGGGGGAUAACUACUGGAAACGGUAGCUAAUACCGCAUAAUGUCGCGAGACCAAAGUGGGGGACCUUCGGGCCUCAUGCCAUCAGAUGUGCCCAGAUGGGAUUAGCUAGUAGGUGGGGUAAUGGCUCACCUAGGCGACGAUCCCUAGCUGGUCUGAGAGGAUGCCCAGCCACACUGGAACUGAGACACGGUCCAGACUCCUACGGGAGGCAGCAGUGGGGAAUAUUGCACAAUGGGCGCAAGCCUGAUACAGCCAUGCCGCGUGUGUGAAGAAGGCCUUCGGGUUGUAAAGCACUUUCAGCGGGGAGGAAGGCGGUGAGGUUAAUAACCUCAUCGAUUGACGUUACCCGCAGAAGAAGCACCGGCUAACUCCGUGCCAGCCGCCGCGGUAA